rnacentral:tRNA from 2 species
CGGGACGUGGCGCAGCCUGGUAGCGCACUUGAAUGGGGUUCAAGGGGUCGCGAGUUCGAAUCUCGCCGUCCCGACCA